CCGGUUUAAGCGUGUAGGCUGGUUUUCCAGGCAAAUCCGGAAAAUCAAGGCUGAGGCGUGAUGACGAGGCACUACGGUGCUGAAGCGACAAAUGCCCUGCUUCCAGGAAAAGCCUCUAAGCAUCAGGUAACAUCAAAUCGUACCCCAAACCGACACAGGUGGUCAGGUAGAGAAUACCAAGGCGCUUGAGAGAACUCGGGUGAAGGAACUAGGCAAAAUGGUGCCGUAACUUCGGGAGAAGGCACGCUGAUAUGUAGGUGAAGCGACUUGCUCGUGGAGCUGAAAUCAGUCGAAGAUACCAGCUGGCUGCAACUGUUUAUUAAAAACACAGCACUGUGCAAACACGAAAGUGGACGUAUACGGUGUGACGCCUGCCCGGUGCCGGAAGGUUAAUUGAUGGGGUUAGCGGUAACGCGAAGCUCUUGAUCGAAGCCCCGGUAAACGGCGGCCGUAACUAUAACGGUCCUAAGGUAGCGAAAUUCCUUGUCGGGUAAGUUCCGACCUGCACGAAUGGCGUAAUGAUGGCCAGGCUGUCUCCACCCGAGACUCAGUGAAAUUGAACUCGCUGUGAAGAUGCAGUGUACCCGCGGCAAGACGGAAAGACCCCGUGAACCUUUACUAUAGCUUGACACUGAACAUUGAGCCUUGAUGUGUAGGAUAGGUGGGAGGCUUUGAAGUGUGGACGCCAGUCUGCAUGGAGCCGACCUUGAAAUACCACCCUUUAAUGUUUGAUGUUCUAACGUGGGCCCCUUACCGGGGUUGCGGACAGUGUCUGGUGGGUAGUUUGACUGGGGCGGUCUCCUCCUAAAGAGUAACGGAGGAGCACGAAGGUUGGCUAAUCCUGGUCGGACAUCAGGAGGUUAGUGCAAUGGCAUAAGCCAGCUUGACUGCGAGCGUGACGGCGCGAGCAGGUGCGAAAGCAGGUCAUAGUGAUCCGGUGGUUCUGAAUGGAAGGGCCAUCGCUCAACGGAUAAAAGGUACUCCGGGGAUAACAGGCUGAUACCGCCCAAGAGUUCAUAUCGACGGCGGUGUUUGGCACCUCGAUGUCGGCUCAUCACAUCCUGGGGCUGAAGUAGGUCCCAAGGGUAUGGCUGUUCGCCAUUUAAAGUGGUACGCGAGCUGGGUUUAGAACGUCGUGAGACAGUUCGGUCCCUAUCUGCCGUGGGCGCUGGAGAACUGAGGGGGGCUGCUCCUAGUACGAGAGGACCGGAGUGGACGCAUCACUGGUGUUCGGGUUGUCAUGCCAAUGGCACUGCCCGGUAGCUAAAUGCGGAAGAGAUAAGUGCUGAAAGCAUCUAAGCACGAAACUUGCCCCGAGAUGAGUUCUCCCUGACUCCUUGAGAGUCCUGAAGGAACGUUGAAGACGACGACGUUGAUAGGCCGGGUGUGUAAGCGCAGCGAUGCGUUGAGCUAACCGGUACUAAUGAACCGUGAGGCUUAACCUUACAACGCCGAAG
rnacentral:rRNA from 1 species